rnacentral:rRNA from 1 species
AAAGCGGUCUAGUAUAAGCAAUUAUACCGUGAAACUGCGAAUGGCUCAUUAAAUCAGUUAUCGUUUAUUUGAUAAUACCUUACUACUUGGAUAACCGUGGUAAUUCUAGAGCUAAUACAUGCUGAAAAUCCCGACUUCGGAAGGGAUGUGUUUAUUAGAUAAAAAACCAAUGCCCUUCGGGGCUUUUUGGUGAUUCAUGAUAACUUUACGGAUCGCAUAGCCUUGCGCUGGCGACGGUUCAUUCAAAUUUCUGCCCUAUCAACUUUCGAUGGUAAGGUAUUGGCUUACCAUGGUUUCAACGGGUAACGGGGAAUUAGGGUUCGAUUCCGGAGAGGGAGCCUGAGAAACGGCUACCACAUCCAAGGAAGGCAGCAGGCGCGCAAAGAUACAGGGCUCUUUUGGGUCUUGUAAUUGGAAUGAGUACAAUUUAAACCUCUUAACGAGGAACAAUUGGAGGGCAAGUCUGGUGCCAGCAGCCGCGGUAAUUCCAGCUCCAAUAGCGUAUAUUAAAGUUGUUGCAGUUAAAAAGCUCGUAGUUGAAACUUGGGCCUGGCUGGCGGGUCCGCCUCACCGCGUGCACUCGUCCGGCCGGGCCUUCCUUCUGAAGAACCUCAUGCCCUUCACUGGGCGUGCUGGGGAAUCAGGACUUUUACUUUGAAAAAAUUAGAGUGUUCAAAGCAGGCCUUUGCUCGAAUACGUUAGCAUGGAAUAAUAAAAUAGGGCGUGCGUUUCUAUUUUGUUGGUUUCUCAGUAUUCAGUUGUCAGAGGUGAAAUUCUUGGAUUUACUGAAGACUAACUACUGCGAAAGCAUUUGCCAAGGAUGUUUUCAUUAAUCAGUGAACGAAAGUUAGGGGAUCGAAGACGAUCAGAUACCGUCGUAGUCUUAACCGUAAACUAUGCCGACUAGGGAUCGGGCGAUGUUCUUUUUCUGACUCGCUCGGCACCUUACGAGAAAUCAAAGUUUUUGGGUUCUGGGGGGGAUUAGGGUCCCCAAGGCUGAAACUUAAAGAAAUUGACGGAAGGGCACCACCAGGCGUGGAACCUGCGGGUUAUUUUGACUCAACCGGGGAAAAUCCCCCGGGCCAAAGAAAAAAGGGAUAAGAAAAAUGGAAGUUUUUUCUUUUUAUUUUGGGGGGGGGGUGGUGGGGUUAUAAAUUUUCGGGGGGGAAAUUUUGCGUGUUUAUUGUGAAGA